rnacentral:lncRNA from 1 species
ACCCGAGGUCUGUCUGGAUGACUGUCUCCACGGAAUCCUAUCCUGCCGCAGACACCUAGACAGAUGGACCAUCUCACUCACGGAGACUGGAAGACUUUUGCUCCUUGGGCGCGUCAUGUCUUCACCCCUGUUCUCAGCUUGGCAUCUUCCCAGACACACGGAGCCGUCCCUAUAAUGCCAGUUUGGUUGUCCUUUUGCUCUGGUUCCCAGAGCAAAGAGGAUAUUGAGAUAAAACAAAAAGGCCCCUGAGCAGCCAGUUGCCACCUGGGGAGGAAAAAUGGAGAGAUCUCUUCCCCAGCCUGAUAAGGCCUUCAGCAGGUGGGUUCCUUGCUGCACUCUACCAAGAGGGGAUGGCUUCUCUGAAGGAAGGAGAAGGAAGGUUCCGUCUUGAGUCAGGGAAGCCCCUCUUCUCAACAGGCACACUUGGGG